rnacentral:rRNA from 1 species
GAUGAACGCUGGCGGCGUGCUUAACACAUGCAAGUCGAACGGAAAGGCCCAAGCUUGCUUGGGUUCUCGAGUGGCGAACGGGUGAGUAACACGUGGGUGAUCUGCCCUGCACUUCGGGAUAAGCCUGGGAAACUGGGUCUAAUAUCGGAUAGGACCACAUUUUGGAUGGUGUGGUGGAAAGUUUUUCGGUGUGGGAUGAGCUCGCUGCCUAUCAGCUUGUUGGUGGGGUAAUGGCCUACCAAGGCGUCGACGGGUAGCCGGCCUGAGAGGGUGUACGGCCGCAGUGGAACUGAGAUACGGCCCAGACUCCUACGGGAGGCAGCAGUGGGGAAUAUUGCACAAUGGGCGCAAGCCUGAUGCAGCGACGCCGCGUGGGGGAUGACGGCCUUCGGGUUGUAAACUCCUUUCGCUAGGGACGAAGCGUUUUUGUGACGGUACCUGGAGAAGAAGCACCGGCUAACUACGUG